CGUUAAAAGGUUGCUUUUGCUAGAAGCCAUUAUAAAAAUGUGUCUUUGUUGAAGGACACCGAAAAACUAUACCCAUUUGCUCACAGACAUUGUAGGCACUAUUCUAUUCAAUUUAAUUGGAGAGUGAUGAAAAAUGACAGUGUUACCCUUGUUAACUUAUCUCUCCUCUCCUGUUCUCCUGUUCUCCUCUCCCGUGGUUCAGGGAGGACCGAUGCGCCAGUCCGGCGGCGCCCCUCCCAGCGAUUGAAGGUCCUGCACCCAAAUCAAGGCCCAACCGAUUGAAUCGAGGUCUAACGCGAUCGAAUCAGGGUCCCGUGCAGCCAGAUUGAGUUUGGGUGCGGCAUUGGAUCUUCACCACCGCGUGCUACCCACCCGCGGCGAGCAAGCGAGCUUCGGCGGCCACCGGCGAACGAGAAACCACUGCAGGAGCGCCCCACAGCUGCGGCGGGUGCUCCAUCGCGCGCUCCACUGACUGCCAGGGGGCGUGAGCCCGAGCUCCAUCGCGCGCUCCACCGCCUUCCGCUCAGCCGCGCAUGGGACCAUCACCGGCCGCGUAGCGAGCUCUUGCAGCUGCUCCGCCUGGCCGCCAGCCGCACAUGUGACCGCCGGCGAGCUCCUCCAGGCUUGUGCCGUGUGCGUUGGUUCGGCUGGAGAAGGAAACGCCCGAGAGGAUAAGGCAGCAAGGGCAAUAUUAUCAUUUUGCGUCACUCUCCUAAUUGAAUUGAAUAGAUUAGUGCCUUCAGUGUCCGUGAGCAAAUAGAUCUAAUUUUUCGGUGUCCUCCAGCAAAGACACGUUUUUUAAUGGCCUGUAGCAAAACCAAAGUUUUAACCAUGUCCCGCGGCAAAUUUUGCCUUUGUUUUCAUACGGCGAAGCGGUUCUCACUCCCCGCAUUCGCCGCCACGAGGCCUGUCCUUUCCUCUUCCUCGGACGCGACGGGCGGAGGCGCGCGAGCGCGAAGACGCCGCGCAGGCGUCGAUCCAGUCCGGCAAUGCUCACGCACUUCGACACUGGCGGUUCUUCCCCAGCUCGAGUCUUCUCCCCGGUCAGCCGAUCGCAUCCCCUUCUCCGGAGUCGUUGCCAUCCCAUUCGCCGGAGCUGUUCGCAUCUCCUUCAUCUGAGUCGUCAGCACAUCCCCAUCGGGACUUUCCACGGUUAGGCAUCUUAUCUCUUCAGUUCACGUCUCGGGGGCAGGGCGUGGCGGAUGCAGACCGCCGCCGCCACCACGGCCGUGGUACCCGGCGGCGGGGCACCAGCAGAGGGAGAGCGGGGCCGGCGGCGCCGGGGCAGCCGGCGGAUUGAGGGGGAGCGGUCGGGAGAGCCACGGUACUAUGGGUGUGUGGCCUAGUUGUCUUACCUUGUUCGCCCGCACCGUCCAGAUGUCUGGUGCUCCUCUACUGCACCGACACUGGUUAAUUAGGAUCCGUGGUGGGAAGAUCAAAACUAGACCAACGUGGUACUGGUAUACCAAUGGUGUAGCCACUGCUGCAAUCUGGUGCUCCGAAACUGAAGAUGUUCCUAUUCUUCUACAAUCUGAGAGAAGCAUGAUGGCACACAGAGGAGCUCUUAGAACGCAAGAUGGAGUGCUCAGGGAAGCUCCGGAAACCAGAAUGGGGACGCAGAGCACAUGCUGAUGACCAUGCACCUUUAGGAAUUAGAUGCUUUGCGAUAUGAUCGAAAAGAAUAAUGUUACGUAGUAGACUCAAUUAUUUUAAUUGCACAAACUGAGAUCUGAUGCUUUUCCGGUCGUUGAGAUAGCUUUGAUUAUCCAGUUGCUUUUUUUUUCCGAUAUAGGACGGCAUACCGCAUAUGCAACCUUUUGGUUUGAACAAUAUAUAUGUUCCGGUCAAGGUAAGAGUACUCAGGCCAUGAGGAUGAUA